rnacentral:rRNA from 1 species
GGAAUAUUGGUCAAUGGACGGAAGUCUGAACCAGCCAAGUAGCGUGCAGGAUGACGGCCCUAUGGGUUGUAAACUGCUUUUAUAUAGGGAUAAAGUCGGGGACGUGUCCCCGUUUGUAGGUACUAUAUGAAUAAGGACCGGCUAAUUCCGUGCCAGCAGCCGCGGUAAUACGGAAGGUCCAGGCGUUAUCCGGAUUUAUUGGGUUUAAAGGGAGCGCAGGCCGGAGGUCAAGCGUGACGUGAAAUGUAGCCGCUCAACGGGUGCACUGCGUCGCGAACUGGUUUCCUUGAGUGAGUACGACGUCAGCGGAAUUCGUGGUGUAGCGGUGAAAUGCUUAGAUAUCACGAAGAACUCCGAUUGCGAAGGCAGCCAACAAGGCCUUUACUGACGCUAAAGCUCGAAGGUGCGGGUAUCGAACA